UACGUAGGAGGCGAGCGUUGUCCGGAUUGACUGGGCGUAAAGGGCGCGUAGGCGGAUAGUACAGUCAGGCGUGAAAUUCCUGGGCUCAACCUGGGGGCUGCGUUUGAUACGUAUUGUCUGGAGUUCGGAAGAGGGUCGUGGAAUUCCCAGUGUAGAGGUGAAAUUCGUAGAUAUUGGGAAGAACACCGGUGGCGAAGGCGGCGACCUGGUCCGAUACUGACGCUGAGGCGCGAAAGCGUGGGGAGCAAACAGG
rnacentral:rRNA from 1 species